rnacentral:tRNA from 1 species
UCCCUGGUAGUGUAGUGGUCAGGACUUGGUGCUUUCACUGCUGCAGCCUGGGUUCAAUCUCCAGCCUGGGAA